rnacentral:rRNA from 1 species
AACAAACGCUGGCGGCGUGCCUAACACAUGCAAGUCGUACGAGAAAGGGUCCUUCGGGGCCUGAGUAAAGUGGCGCACGGGUGAGUAACGCGUGGAUAAUCUGCCCUUCAGAUGGGAAUAACACAUCGAAAGGUGGGCUAAUACCGAAUAAUGCUGUGAGACCUCGGUUGAUCAGCCAAAGAGAGCCUCUGCUUGCAAGCCCUCGCUGAAGGAUGAGUCCGCGUACCAUUAGCUAGUUGGUAGGGUAAUGGCCUACCAAGGCGAGGAUUGUUUGCGAGUCUGAGAGGAUGAUAAGCCACAAUGGAAGUGAGACGCGUGUCAGACUCCUACGGGAGGCAGCAGUGAGGAAUCGUGCGGAAUGGGGGCAACCCUGACGCAGCAACGCCGCGUGAGUGAGGAAGGUCUUCGGAUCGUAAAGCUCUGUCGGAUGGAAAGAACCGCAUAGGGGUAAACAGCCCCUGUGUCUGACGGUACCAUCAAAGGAAGCACCGGCUAACUCCGUGCCAGCCGCCGCCGUAACAC